rnacentral:sRNA from 1 species
UGAACACCAUCACUGAAUUGGAUCUUGC